GUCUACGGCACGCAGUAGUACUUAGACAAUCUUGGCUGCUUUUGAGAAGCUGGUGAGUAUUUGGAUGGGGCACCACUAGGAAAUUCCAGGGCUGUAGGCU
rnacentral:rRNA from 1 species